rnacentral:rRNA from 1 species
AGUCACUGACAUUAGAUACCCGGGUAGUCCCUGCCGUAAACAAUGUGCGUUAGGUGUGUCGGUAACCACGUGUUACUGAUGCGCCGAAGAGAAAUCGUGAAACGCACCACCUGGGAAGUACGGUCGCAAGGCUGAAACUUAAAGGAAUUGGCGGGGAGCACCACAACAGGUGGAGCCUGCGGUUUAAUUGGAUUCAACGCCGGACAUCUCACCGGAUAAGACAGCUGAAUGAUUGUCAAUCUGAAGGUUUUACAUGACUAGCUG